rnacentral:rRNA from 1 species
GAAGGUGUGCUGUGAGGCAUGCUGGAGGUAUCAGAAGUGCGAAUGCUGACAUAAGUAACGAUAAAGCGGGUGAAAAGCCCGCUCGCCGGAAGACCAAGGGUUCCUGUCCAACGUUAAUCGGGGCAGGGUGAGUCGACCCCUAAGGCGAGGCCGAAAGGCGUAGUCGAUGGGAAACAGGUUAAUAUUCCUGUACUUGGUGUUACUGCGAAGGGGGGACGGAGAAGGCUAUGUUGGCCGGGCGACGGUUGUCCCGGUUUAAGCGUGUAGGCUGGUUUUCCAGGCAAAUCCGGAAAAUCAAGGCUGAGGCGUGAUGACGAGGCACUACGGUGCUGAAGCAACAAAUGCCCUGCUUCCAGGAAAAGCCUCUAAGCAUCAGGUAACAUCAAAUCGUACCCCAAACCGACACAGGUGGUCAGGUAGAGAAUACCAAGGCGCUUGAGAGAACUCGGGUGAAGGAACUAGGCAAAAUGGUGCCGUAACUUCGGGAGAAGGCACGCUGAUAUGUAGGUGAAGUCCCUCGCGGAUGGAGCUGAAAUCAGUCGAAGAUACCAGCUGGCUGCAACUGUUUAUUAAAAACACAGCACUGUGCAAACACGAAAGUGGACGUAUACGGUGUGACGCCUGCCCGGUGCCGGAAGGUUAAUUGAUGGGGUUAGCCGCAAGGCGAAGCUCUUGAUCGAAGCCCCGGUAAACGGCGGCCGUAACUAUAACGGUCCUAAGGUAGCGAAAUUCCUUGUCGGGUAAGUUCCGACCUGCACGAAUGGCGUAAUGAUGGCCAGGCUGUCUCCACCCGAGACUCAGUGAAAUUGAACUCGCUGUGAAGAUGCAGUGUACCCGCGGCAAGACGGAAAGACCCCGUGAACCUUUACUAUAGCUUGACACUGAACAUUGAGCCUUGAUGUGUAGGAUAGGUGGGAGGCUUAGAAGUGUGGACGCCAGUCUGCAUGGAGCCGACCUUGAAAUACCACCCUUUAAUGUUUGAUGUUCUAACGUUGACCCGUAAUCCGGGUUGCGGACAGUGUCUGGUGGGUAGUUUGACUGGGGCGGUCUCCUCCUAAAGAGUAACGGAGGAGCACGAAGGUUGGCUAAUCCUGGUCGGACAUCAGGAGGUUAGUGCAAUGGCAUAAGCCAGCUUGACUGCGAGCGUGACGGCGCGAGCAGGUGCGAAAGCAGGUCAUAGUGAUCCGGUGGUUCUGAAUGGAAGGGCCAUCGCUCAACGGAUAAAAGGUACUCCGGGGAUAACAGGCUGAUACCGCCCAAGAGUUCAUAUCGACGGCGGUGUUUGGCACCUCGAUGUCGGCUCAUCACAUCCUGGGGCUGAAGUAGGUCCCAAGGGUAUGGCUGUUCGCCAUUUAAAGUGGUACGCGAGCUGGGUUUAGAACGUCGUGAGACAGUUCGGUCCCUAUCUGCCGUGGGCGCUGGAGAACUGAGGGGGGCUGCUCCUAGUACGAGAGGACCGGAGUGGACGCAUCACUGGUGUUCGGGUUGUCAUGCCAAUGGCACUGCCCGGUAGCUAAAUGCGGAAGAGAUAAGUGCUGAAAGCAUCUAAGCACGAAACUUGCCCCGAGAUGAGUUCUCCCUGACNNNNNNNNNNNNNNNNNNNNNNNNNNNNNNNNNNNNNNNNNNNNNNNNNNNNNNNNNNNNNNNNNNNNNNNNNNNNNNNGUAGCGCGGUGGUCCCACCUGACCCCAUGCCGAACUCAGAAGUGAAACGCCGUAGCGCCGAUGGUAGUGUGGGGUCUCCCCAUGCGAGAGUAGGGAACUGCCAGGCAUCAAAUU